rnacentral:lncRNA from 1 species
UUGACCCACUCUUUACCGGGGCCCGUAUCGUCUGUGAGCCAAGAGAAGUGACAAACAGCGGCUUCCCCCACCCACUACUUCCUCUACCCCCUGCCUGGGUUGGGGGGAGCAGGAAGCAAUAGACAGCAUGUCUCGGCAGUGGGGAUAGGUGAAGGGAUCAGGGAGGUCUGUAAGAGACAGGCUUAAAAGUCUCCACUCCAUGUGACAGCAAAAUAGUUCUUAGUUUCAAAUCCGGCAAGCAAGAAGAGUGAUUGUUUCCCUCACAAACACCUCUGAAGA